AUAAAGAAUGAUUUGGGUUCUCAAUCGCUACUAUCGCUACUUUCCAAUAGAAAAUUAUGAUUUCAGUCGCUUCAGUCGCUUCAGUCGCUGAGUGCAGAGGUUAAAUAUGUUUGCAGCCAAUCUGAAACAAGCUUCAGAUAGCGAUGGUCGGAUUAAGCGCUCAGUGAGGGAACAUUCAGCUCUGAUGUAUAUUCUCGAUCGUCGUCCGAUUGAAUCUGCACUCCCAACUCUAGCGAGGCCAAUAAUGUGUUUGGAUGCUAAUGAAGAUGCUAUAUUGGGGGCACUAAAGCAGAGCUUGGUAAUAUUUUUAUGACCUAAAACUUUGUAAUUGUCACAUUGACUCUUGAAUUUGGGGAAUGCCAUGUACUUUUCCUGAACAAUUUUGGCAUCUACAUUCUGAAAAUAAUGUCCAAUUUAGACCCCUUAUUUUGUAGUACUGAAGUUAGUAUAUAUUCUAA